GGGCUGCCCUCCAGCCUACACCGGGACGACUUUAGCUACUUCCAACUCCGGGCUCACUUGUACCAGGCCCGGGGUGUGUUGGCUGCAGAUGACAGUGGCCUCUCGGACCCCUUUGCUCGAGUCCUCAUCUCUACCCAGUGUCAGACCACACGGGUCCUGGAGCAGACGCUGAGCCCUCUGUGGGAUGAACUCCUGGUAUUUGAGCAGUUGAUCGUGGAUGGGAGGAGGGAGCACCUGCAGGAGGAGCCUCCAUUAGUGAUCAUCAAUGUAUUUGACCACAAUAAGUUUGGCCCCCCCGUGUUCCUGGGCAGGGCACUGGCCGCCCCAAGGGUAAAGCUGAUGGAGGACCCAUACCAACGCCCAGAGUUGCAGUUCUUCCCCCUGAGGAAGGGACCCUGGGCAGCCGGAGAGCUCAUUGCCGCCUUUCAACUCAUUGAACUAGACUACAGUGGCCGACUUGAGCCCUCAGUGCCCAGUGAGGUGGAGCCCCAGGAUCUGGCACCCCUGGUUGAGCCCCACUCUGGACGCCUGUCCCUUCCACCCAACGUGUGCCCAGUGCUCAGGGAGUUCCGUGUUGAGGUGCUGUUCUGGGGUCUUAGGGGACUUGGUCGUGUGCAUCUGCUCGAGGUGGAGCAGCCCCAGGUUGUACUGGAGGUGGCUGGGCAAGGUGUGGAGUCUGAGGUCCUGGCCAGCUACCGUGAGAGCCCCAAUUUCACUGAGCUUGUCAGGCAUCUGACAGUGGACUUGCCGGAGCAGCCUUACUUGCAGCCUCCACUCAGCAUCUUGGUGAUUGAGCGCCGGGCCUUUGGCCACACAGUCCUUGUGGGUUCCCACAUUGUCCCCCACAUGCUGCGAUUCACAUUUCGGGGUCAUGAGGAUCCUCCUGAGGAGGAAGGAGAGAUGGAGGAGACAGGGGAUAUGAUGCCCAAGGGACCUCAAGGACAGAAGUCCCUGGAUCCCUUCUUGGCUGAAGCGGGUAUAUCCAGACAGCUCCUGAAGCCUCCUCUGAAGAAGCUCCCACUAGGAGGCCUCCUAAAUCAAGGCCCUGGGCUGGAGGAAGACAUCCCAGAUCCAGAGGAGCUCGACUGGGGGUCCAAGUACUAUGCGUCGCUGCAGGAGCUCCAGGGGCAGCACAACUUUGAUGAAGAUGAAAUGGAUGAUCCUGGAGAUUCAGAUGGGGUCAACCUCAUUUCUAUGGUUGGGGAGAUCCAAGACCAGGGUGAGGCUGAAGUCAAAGGCACUGUGUCCCCAAAAAAAGCAGUUGCCACCCUGAAGAUCUACAACAGGUCCCUGAAGGAAGAAUUUAACCACUUUGAAGACUGGCUGAAUGUGUUUCCUCUGUACCGAGGGCAAGGGGGCCAGGAUGGAGGUGGAGAAGAGGAAGGAUCUGGACACCUUGUGGGCAAGUUCAAGGGCUCCUUCCUCAUUUACCCUGAAUCAGAGGCAGUGUUGUUCUCUGAGCCCCAGAUCUCCCGGGGGAUCCCACAGAACCGGCCCAUCAAGCUCCUGGUCAGAGUGUAUGUUGUAAAGGCUACCAACCUGGCUCCUGCAGACCCCAAUGGCAAAGCAGACCCUUACGUGGUGGUGAGCGCUGGCCGGGAGCGGCAGGACACCAAGGAACGCUACAUCCCCAAGCAGCUCAACCCCAUCUUUGGAGAGAUCCUGGAGCUAAGCAUCUCUCUCCCAGCUGAGACGGAGCUGACGGUCGCCGUAUUUGAUCAUGACCUCGUGGGUUCUGACGACCUCAUCGGGGAGACCCACAUUGAUCUGGAAAACCGAUUCUAUAGCCACCACAGAGCAAACUGUGGGCUGGCCUCCCAGUAUGAAGUAGAUGGUUACAAUGCCUGGCGUGAUGCAUUCUGGCCUUCGCAGAUCCUGGCGGGGCUGUGCCAACGCUGUGGCCUCCCUGCCCCUGAAUACCGAGCCGGUGCUGUCAAGGUGGGCAGCAAAGUCUUCCUGACACCACCGGAGACCCUGCCCCCAGGCAGCAGCAGCCCCACAGUGGCGAGCGGGGACCCUGAAGAGGCCCAGGCAUUGCUUGUGCUGCGGCGCUGGCAGGAAAUGCCGGGUUUUGGGAUCCAGCUGGUACCCGAGCAUGUAGAAACCAGGCCUCUCUACCAUCCCCACAGCCCAGGGCUGCUACAGGGAUCUCUUCACAUGUGGAUUGACAUCUUUCCUCAAGAUGUGCCUGCUCCACCCCCAGUUGACAUCAAGCCUCGGCAGCCAAUCAGCUAUGAGCUCAGAGUUGUCAUCUGGAACACGGAGGAUGUGGUUCUGGACGACGAGAAUCCACUCACCGGAGAGAUGUCGAGUGACAUCUAUGUGAAGAGCUGGGUGAAGGGGUUGGAGCAUGACAAGCAGGAGACAGACGUUCACUUCAACUCCCUGACUGGGGAGGGGAACUUCAAUUGGCGCUUUGUGUUCCGCUUUGACUACCUGCCCACGGAGCGGGAGGUGAGCGUCCGGCGCAGGUCUGGACCCUUUGCCCUGGAGGAGGCGGAGUUCCGGCAGCCUGCAGUGCUGGUCCUGCAGGUCUGGGACUAUGACCGCAUCUCUGCCAAUGACUUCCUUGGAUCCCUGGAGUUGCAGCUACCAGACAUGGUGCGUGGGGCCCGGGGCCCCGAGCUCUGCUCUGUGCAGCUGGCCCGCAAUGGGGCCGGGCCGAGGUGCAAUCUGUUUCGCUGCUGCCGCCGCCUGAGGGGCUGGUGGCCGGUAGUGAAGCUGAAGGAGGCAGAGGACGUGGAGCGGGAGGCGCAGGAGGCUCAGGCUGGCAAGAAGAAGCGAAAGCAGAGGAGGAGGAAGGGCCGGCCAGAAGACCUGGAGUUCACAGACAUGGGUGGCAAUGUGUACAUCCUCACGGUGGGUGCCCGUGGGCAGAGGCCAGGCUGAGCUGGGGCCUGAGCCCGCCCCCUGCUCCCAGUGAUGCAGGAAUGUCUUUUUUAGGGCAAGGUGGAGGCAGAGUUUGAGCUGCUGACUGUGGAGGAGGCCGAGAAACGGCCAGUGGGGAAGGGGCGGAAGCAGCCAGAGCCUCUGGAGAAACCCAGCCGCCCCAAAACUUCCUUCAACUGGUUUGUGAACCCGCUGAAGACCUUUGUCUUCUUCAUCUGGCGCCGGUACUGGCGCACCCUGGUGCUGCUGCUACUGGUGCUGCUCACCGUCUUCCUCCUCCUGGUCUUCUACACCAUCCCUGGCCAGAUCAGCCAGGUCAUCUUCCGUCCCCUCCACAAGUGACUCUCGCUGACCUUGGACACUCACCCAGGGUGCCAACCCUUCAAUGCCUGCUCCUGGAAGUCUUUCUUACCCAUGUGAGCUACCCCAGAGUCUAGUGCUUCCUCUGAAUAAACCUAUCACAG
ensembl:lncRNA novel transcript